CGCACCUUGCGCCCUCUGGUAUUCCGGAGGGCAUGCCUGUUUGAGUGUCAUGUAGACUCAAUCCCCCGGGUUUCCGGGAAGAUUGGAAUUGGACGUUGCCAUCCCCGGCUCGUCUCAAAUGUGUCUGUGGGCGUCCGACCCGUCGGGAGUGAUACGUUUCUCUCGGUCGCGGUGUCGUCACCCCGCUGUCCAACCACCAUAUUUUGACUCUGACCUCAAAUCAGGUAGGGCUACCCGCUGAACUUAA
rnacentral:misc_RNA from 1 species